rnacentral:rRNA from 1 species
AUGCACGCUGGCGGCGUGCCUAAUACAUGCCAGUCGAGCGAACAGACGAGGAGCUUGCUCCUCUGACGUUAGCGGCGGACGGGUGAGUAACACGUGGAUAACCUACCUAUAAGACUGGGAUAACUUCGGGAAACCGGAGCUAAUACCGGAUAAUAUAUUUAACCGCAUGGUUCAAUAGUGAAAGACGGUUUUGCUGUCACUUAUAGAUGGAUCCGCGCCGCAUUAGCUAGUUGGUAAGGUAACGGCUUACCAAGGCGACGAUGCGUAGCCGACCUGAGAGGGUGAUCGGCCACACUGGAACUGAGACACGGUCCAGACUCCUACGGGAGGCAGCAGUAGGGAAUCUUCCGCAAUGGGCGAAAGCCUGACGGAGCAACGCCGCGUGAGUGAUGAAGGUCUUCGGAUCGUAAAACUCUGUUAUUAGGGAAGAACAAAUGUGUAAGUAACUAUGCACGUCUUGACGGUACCUAAUCAGAAAGCCACGGCUAACUACGUG